rnacentral:rRNA from 1 species
UUUAUGACUCUCGACAACGGAUAUCUUGGCUCUUGCAUCGAUGAAGAACGCAGCAAAAUGCGAUAAGUGGUGUGAAUUGCAGAAUCCCGUGAACCAUCGAGUCUUUGAACGCAAGUUGCGCCCGAUGCCAUCAGGCUAAGGGCACGCCUGCCUGGGCGUCGUGU